AUUUCUCUUUCAAUAUUAGCAAAACUACAACAAAUUAAAUAUAAAAACAACCACAAAGAAAAUUGUUAUUGUUAGUAAUGCUAGUGUCAGUUAUUUGUCCAAAAAUGCAUUGCGUCUUAAUAAAGGAGUACGAAUAGUAAUUGUGGUAACGUAACUUACGCAACGUAAGAUGUUUAAAAUGAGGUCUGUUACAAAAUGCUGCCUUGCAGGAAGCUGCUGAGAGUCAAACAAACUUAAAUACCCCAUUUUAUUUCGAAAGGGUCUGUUUAUAUAUCCAAACAAAAGAAAUAUGUAAAAAUAACUUUCUUCAAUAAGAUCUGUGUGGGCGUUCUUUGCUUUUUUAGGUUUUUCCCGCUUUAUGGCAAAAUCUCCACAACGCCAACAUUUUGGGGGUGGGUAUAAAGGCAAGAAAUAUUCUAUAUCAAAAUCCACCAUGAGUCUCCAAACAAAAGGGUGCGGUAAAUAAAGUUAUUUUUGCACUGUGCCAAAAUCUCCGACAAUACUUCAUUUAAGGAAGUUGAUGUGAAGGGAAAAAAUUUCUAAAUCAAAUUUCACUAUUAGUCCCCAACCAAAUCCAAACGGAUAUCUCCGUUUUGUGAAAUUCCCCACAACACCAGAAUUUUGGAGGGAUGGUGUUAAGGCAAAAACAAAUAUCCACUAUGAAAAAACUUAAGUAAUUGGCAAAUAGAAGAUAUACCAAUUAAAUGUCAUGAUUAAAUGCGGAUGCAAAAAAAAAGAUCAACAUUUUUAGGUUAUAUUGGUUUUGUGCCAAAAUCUCCGACAAUACUUCAGUUUAGGAGGUUGGUGUAAAGGAAAAAUAUAUUCCUUAUAAAAUUUUACUGCUAGUCCCCAAACAAAUCCAAAAGGUUAUUUCCGUUUCGUGCCAAAUUCCCCACAACACCAGAAUUUUGGAGGAAUGGUGUUGAGACAAAAAAUAUACUAUAUAUAUAUACCAAUAUCUACUAUGAGCUUCCAAACUAAAGAAAGUGAUAAAUAAAAGAUAUACCAAUUAAAUGUCAUGAUUAAAUGCGGAUGCAAAAAAAAAAGAUCGACAUUUUUAGGUUAUAUUGGUUUUGUGCCAAAAUCUCGGACAAAUUUUCAUUUUAGGAGGAUGGUGUAAGAGAAAAAUAUAUUCCCUAGCAAAUUUCACUACUGGUCCCCAAACAAAUCCAAAUGGUUAUCUCGUUUUUGUGUCAAAUUCCCCACAUCACCUAAUUUUUUAGGGAUGAUGUAAAGGCAAAAAAUAUUCUUACCAAUAUCCACUAUGAACUUCCGAACUAAAGUAGCUGGUAAAUAAAAGAUAUACCAAAUUAAAAUUAUGUUUAAAAGGAGAUGUAAAAACAGUUCAACAUUUUUAGGUUAUAUUUGUUUUGUGCCAAAAACUCCGGCAAUUUUUCAUUUUAGAAGGUUGGUGUAAAAGAAAAUUUUAUUCUAAAUCAAAUUUCAAUAUUAGCCUCCUAACAAAAGAUAUUUGUAUUUACAAUAUUUGUUAAUAAAAUAUGUAGUUUUACAAACGGUAUUGUAAAAACCAAAAAUGGUUUUCCAUUUUUCUAGGUUAUAUUUGUUUUGUGCCAAAAUCUCGUACUAUUUUUCCUCUAAGGAAGUUGAUGUUAAAGGACGAAAUAUUCUAAAUCGAAUUCUACUAUUGGUCUCCAUACAAAAGAAAUUUCAAAAUAGUAGUUAUAUUAACAUAUUAUAUGAUUUUAUAUUGGGUUUUGCAAAAGCUAAAUGGUUUUGCAUUUUUCUAGGUUAUAUUUGUUUUGUGCCAAAAUCUGGAGCAAUUUUUCGUUUUCAGAAGUUGAUGUUGAAGGACAAAAUAUUCUAAAUCGAAUUUCACUAUUAGUCUCCACUCAGCAGAAUUUUCUAUAUAAUAUGUAUAUUAAUAAAAUAUGUGGUUUUAUAAACCAAAAUGGUUUUUCAUUUUUAUUCUUAGUUAUUUUCGUUUUGGGGCAAAAUCUCAAACAAUUUUUCUUUUUUGGAACUUGAUGUUAAAGGACAAAAUAUUCUAAAUCGAAUUCCACUGUUAGUCUCCAUACAAAAGAAAUUUCUAUAUAAUUUCUAUAUUAAGAAAAUCUGUGGUUUUAUAUUGGGUUUUGCAAAACCAAAAAUGGGUUUUCCAUUUUUCUACUUAGUUAUUUUCAUUUUGAGGCAAAAUCUCCUAAAAUACUUCAAUUUAGGUAAUUGCCGUUAAAGCAAAAAUAAAUCUAUUUCAAAAUUCACUAUUGGUCUCCAAACAAAGGAAAUGCGUAAGUAUGAUAUAGACCACAAAAAAAAUGUAAUAAAAAUUUAGUGUUUUACAUUUAAAAAAUCAACGACAGUGUUCGCUAUUUUUAGCCCAGCUUCCUUUGUAUGGAGCAAUCCACGCAUUCUUUGCGAUUAUACCUCCAGCUCAGGCGAAGAUCUCUUCACCGAAAUGACAGCUCACAGUGUGGCUUCCAUGUUAUGCCUCCCAAAAAGGGGGGAAUUUCCAUUAUAUCCUCAUCCAGCAGAGCAAAAAAUUGGCAAUCAUUUUAAAUUUCUGAGACACAUUACACACUUCCCAAGAAGACUACGAUGAUGGCGGCUCCCAUUCGUUGAUCGUAUUGAAAAGAAAAAAAUAAAUGAAAUAAAACGAAAUUAUAACAGAAACAAGUUUUCGAAGACACACUUCAAAAACAAAUUAAUGAAGAAUACACACAGAGGAGGCGGCAGCAGCAGCGACAGCCACUGAAG